GUGGGGAAUAUUGGACAAUGGGCGCAAGCCUGAUCCAGCAAUGCCGCGUGGGUGAAGAAGGUCUUCGGAUCGUAAAGCCCUUUCGACAGGGACGAUGAUGACGGUACCUGUAGAAGAAGCCCCGGCUAACUUCGUGCCAGCAGCCGCGGUAAUACGAAGGGGGCUAGCGUUACUCGGAAUUACUGGGCGUACAGGGCGCGUAGGCGGCUCUGGUAGUCGGGCGUGAAAUUCCUGGGCUUAACCUGGGGACUGCGCUUGAUGCUGCAGGGGUUGAGGCCGAGAGAGGGUGGUGGAAUUCCCAGUGUAGAGGUGAAAGUCGUAGAUAUUGGGAAGAACACCGGUGGCGAAGGCGACCACCUGGCUCGGUUCUGACGCUGAGGCGCGACAGCGUGGGGAGCAAACAGGAUUAGAAACCCUGGUAGUCC
rnacentral:rRNA from 1 species